GUAGGUGGCAAGCGUUGUCCGGAAUUAUUGGGCGUAAAGCGCGCGCAGGCGGUCCUUUAAGUCUGAUGUGAAAGCCCACGGCUCAACCGUGGAGGGUCAUUGGAAACUGGGGGGACUUGAGUACAGAAGAGGAAAGCGGAAUUCCAAGUGUAGCGGUGAAAUGCGUAGAGAUUUGGAGGAACACCAGUGGCGAAGGCGGCUUUCUGGUCUGUAACUGACGCUGAGGCGCGAAAGCGUGGGGAGCAAACAGGGAUUAGAUACCCUGGUAGUCCACGCCGUAAACGAUGAGUGCUAAGUGUUAGGGGGGUUUCCGCCCCCUUAGUGCUGCAGCUAACGCAUUAAGCACUCCGCCGUGGGGAGUACGGCCGCAAGGCUG
rnacentral:rRNA from 1 species